rnacentral:sRNA from 1 species
UCGCGUUGAGGUCCCCGAGAACGAGCGC